UACGUAGGGGGCGAGCGUUGUCCGGAGUUACUGGGCGUAAAGGGCGUGCAGGCGGUGCGGUAAGUUUAGAGUGACAGUAUCCGGCUUAACUGGAUAAGGCCUCUGAAAACUGCCGGACUUGAGGGCCAGAGAGGGACAUAGAAUUCCGGGUGGAGUGGUGAAAUGCGUAGAUAUCCGGAGGAAUACCAAAGGCGAAGGCGAGUGUCCAUGGCUGGCA
rnacentral:rRNA from 1 species